rnacentral:rRNA from 1 species
UACGAAGGGGGCUAGCGUUGUUCGGAAUUACUGGGCGUAAAGCGCGCGUAGGCGGACCUGCAAGUCGGGGGUGAAAGCCCGAGGCUCAACCUCGGAACUGCCUUCGAUACUGCGGGUCUCGAGUCCGGGAGAGGUGAGUGGAAUUCCUAGUGUAGAGGUGAAAUUCGUAGAUAUUCGCAAGAACACCAGUGGCGAAGGCGGCUCACUGGCCCGAUACUGACGCUGAGGCACGAAAGCGUGGGGAGCAAACAGG